UACGGGGGGGCAAGCGUUGUUCGGAAUUACUGGGCGUAAAGGGCUCUGAGGUGGCCAACUAAGUCGGACGUGAAAUCCCUCGGCUUAACCGGGGAACUGCGUCCGAUACUGGUUGGCUUGAGUUUGGGAGAGGGAUGCGGAAUUCCAGGUGUAGCGGUGAAAUGCGUAGAUAUCUGGAGGAACACCGGUGGCGAAGGCGGCAUCCUGGACCAAUACUGACGCUGAGGAGCGAAAGCCAGGGGAGCAAACGGG
rnacentral:rRNA from 1 species